rnacentral:rRNA from 1 species
UACGUAGGGUGCAGGCGUUGUCCGGAAUUAUUGGGCGUAAAGGGCUCGUAGGCGGUCCGUCACGUCGGGAGUGAAAUCCUGGGGCUUAACCCCAGAACUGCUUCCGAUACGGGCAGACUAGAGGUAGGUAGGGGAGAAUGGAAUUCCUGGUGUAGCGGUGGAAUGCGCAGAUAUCAGGAGGAACACCAGUGGCGAAGGCGGGUUCUCU